AGGUACUUACUGUGAUGCAGGAAAGGGUCUGGAAUCCUGAGGGUCCUUACUGGAGCCACCAUUCUGUGCUGGGAGAUCUUAAGUGCCAUUUGGUAAGCACACAUUUAGUACCUACUCUGUACCUAAGCUUGUGCUAAAUGUUGAGGAGGGGUCUGGAGAAAGAAAUUUUUUUUAAAAAAAGUAAAUUAAAAAAAGUAAAGUGGAAGAUUUAAACUUUAAAAUAAUUUUUGUGAAUAAUCCAUUCAGCAAAACAAUCUAUCCUCUGAGUUCUUGGAGGACAAUCUUGAUUUAUUUUUCUUCCCUUCAAUGAAGGUGAAUUGUAAAAUUUCUGCAUAUUACUGUGAGAACAUAUAUAUAAGAAUAAUUCAGAGUUUGGACUUUGGAGUUAAAUUAUCCUGGAAUUUUAAACAUUUACUAACUAUAUAACUUUGGGUACAUUAACUAGUCUCUUAAUCUUCAGUUUCUUUAUUAGUAAAAUGACAAUAAUAAUAGUCCUAGAUUGAUUAGGAUUUUUCCGAGUGUAAGACUAAUUCUAGCUUACCAUGAAUUUGGAAUUAAGAAAAUGUCUUGUUUCAUACUACAAGACACCUAGAGGCAGAGUAGGCAAAUCCAGCAGCUCAGUGAUAGCAUCUAGGACCCACAUCUCCCUGUCCCUCUGCUCAGGCAUCCUCAGCAUGGGUGCCAUGCUGAGGGUGAUUUCCCUGAGAUCCUAAGGCGGCUGCCAGUGGCACUUGUGUCUGUGUGCCUCUUUGUUCUUACCCAGUAUGACAGAACAGGAGAAUCAAUUCCUCCAAUCCUGGCACAUGUCCUUAACCUCCGUCUGUCUGAGCCAUGGUCAUGAAAAUCUUUCAAUUGAGUGACAGUGGGCAAGAGAAUCCCAUGCACCAAUUUGCUUCAUAAGUAAUCUGGCUGCCCCUGUAGGGUUAGGGAAGGGCUAGUUGCAGAACAAAUCAGGAUCUAAUUAGGAGGUGAGAGAGGAAAUGGAUGCUGGGAAGGCAGCCAGCAACAGCAUCCACAGGUUACCAUGAUAAAAGGUUUGUCAGGGGUCGGGCACAGUGGCUCACGCCUAUAAUCCCAGCACUUUGGGAGGCUGAGGCAGGUGGAUCACAAGGUCAAGAGAUUGAGACCAUCCUGGUCAACCCAUGGUGAAACCCUGUCUCUACUAAAAAUACAAAAAUUAGCUGGGUGUGGUGGCGCACGCCUGUAGUCCCAGCUACUUGGGAGGCUGAGGCAGGAGAAUUGCUUGAAUCUGGGAGGCAGAUGUUGCAAUGAGCCGAGAUCGCACCAUUGCACUCCAGCCUGGGUAACAAGAGUGAAACUAGGUCUCAAAAAAAAAAAAAGAGGUUUGUCAGGAAUAGAGAGAUGACACAUGGAAAGUUCUGAGCAUGUGCCUCAGCAUGAUUGUAGAUCACUCUAAUAAUAAGCAAAGGCGCAAAGCCUUCUAGGAAUUUCCUUCUGUCUCUGCUCCAAAUAAUAAUCAUUUUGCUAUGUUGAAACAUGCCCCAGGCACAGCACUCUGCUGAUGCUCUGGUGAAGUGGCAACUCAGUCACCGCCCCUAAGGAAAGUCUGCUCUUGCUGUAAACACUUCACUAUUGUUUAUGGCUUUUCCAUUUUAUUGCAAGUGCAUUCCCAGCAGUCUCUGAACACUGUGUUCCAGUGUCCUAAACAAACAUCCUUGUCAUGCCAUGAGAGGCAUUCACAUCUGAAGUGUCAUCUGAGAUUAUAAAGGAUGGCCAGGUCUGACUGCUGACGACCAUGCAUCGACCAUGCAUUGCAGCUUCAGGAAGCUCAGCUCAGCUUCUCUGACAGCCCUUGUGCUCAGGUUACCUUGAGGAACUCUGCUUGGUCCAAGCCAGCCAUGUGACUCAAGAACCUAAGAAUUCCAUGCACAGAGGAAUGGGGUUGCCAGGACAACUGACUACCUGGAGAACAUCACAGACUCGGCACUCGGGGGCUGGUCAGAGUUCAAUCCCAUUUUUAGUUUUCAGGUAGAGAAUACGGCACUGGGUCAAGGAAGAGAUAGGAAAGGGAGUCUCAGUCAUGGGUUUGAAAGGGAAAGUAACACCCUGAUCACCUCCCCCAGAAGGAGGAGAAGAGUGAGUGAUAGGACUGAUGAGGAAAAUGAUAAAGUGAUGACAGGCACAGUCCUGACUUAGUGACUGCUAGAUGCUACUGGGCAUACUUUGCACCUAUUGGCAGUGAGCCGGCAGUGUUAGUCAUAGCUCAGGCAAGCCCGUGGGGCUGCUGACAGUGGGGUGACACCAAGCACGCCUCACCGGCAGCCAUGUAAUGCCUGUGCUUCCAUCAUAUAUGAGGUUUUUAUUUGGGGGAGGAGUCAAUACACAUAUUAUUAUUGUAUUAUAUAUUUAUAUACAUAAGGUACAUAUUGACUAUUGACUCCCCCUUACAAAAAAAGAAAAGAUAAAUACCAAAAAGGUUACAGGAGCAUGUUCAUUGUUAGCUGGAGCCCUGAACCAUAUCAAAAGCAGGAAAAGACCAUUUUGAGGGAUGCAAGUACAGCCUCAAACAGCUUCAGAGAUGCAAAAAUGGAUGGCAGCAGUGAGAGAAGGCAGGAACAGAAGACAAGUGAAGUCCCUGAGAGCCUAAUUAGUUAUGCUGGCUUGUUCAUUUGAUGAGAGGUUGUGAAAGCGAUGGUGUCUGAAAGAGAAGGUACUGUGUACUUUAGACUCACGUCUCAACUGGAAUGCUGUCCCUCCUAGAAUCUCAGAUUCCUGGUUGUAAAGCCUCUGAGGGAUUUCUGGGUCACAAAGCUCUGAGAUAAUCGGCGAAUCAAAAAAUAAAUCUCCUAUUUGCAAACCAGCAUCCUUGCCAUGUGCAAUUCUGUUUCUCUAAGCAGAAGUUUCUCACCCCCAGAAAAUCAGGUACAUUAUCUGAAUUAAAAUCUAAGGGAGAAAUAAAAAGCAUACCUCAUGCUGUGUUGAUUUUCUCUAAUGAUCUGAUCCAUGCCCCCUUUUUGGGGUGGGAAGUUAUUACAGCCAUAAAUAUUUGUAAUUCUUUCUCUGAUGUAUUAUAUUUGUUAACAGCACCACAGGGUAGAUGCUGCUCUUGAGAAAAUAAGCACGUUGAAUGGUGGGGACUAAAGAGAGAAAACCAGGAAAGGGAGGUGAUCUCUCCUUGAGCAGGGCUCCCCAGCAGUGGCUUCCCCCAGCAGUGGGCCUCAGGGUUCUUCCUGAGCACUGGAGCAGGGGGCUUUAUAAAGGGAAGCCUCUUUAUUCCACCUCAGCCUCUGAUGCCAGCUAGCAUUGUGCUUUUUUGGACAGAGCAGUUAGAACUCUGGAGCUGUCUCUUCUUCCACAGGUUAUAUGAGGGAAGAUAAAAUAAGUUAGUAGAUGCAGAGAGAUUUUAUAAAGCAGUAAGCUCCACACCUACCCAUCUCAAUAAAGGGUUUGGAAGCUAAGCAAGCUACCCACUUCCUCUUCAGCCUCAUGGAUACAAUGAUUGGCAUUCUUCACUUCUCUAAUCCACAAGGCUUUAGACUCACACAAAUAUGGAUUAAAAUACCAGUUCCAUGAUUUGGGGCAAGUUACAUAACUCCUCUGAUAUUCAGUCUUUUCUUCUGUUUAGUGAGGGGAAUUACUAUUCUACUAAGGAUAAAGCAUGUAAUAUAUUUUAUAAAUGGUAGCCAUUAUUAUGAUAUGUGUUGGUUUCACUUUAUCAGUUCAGAUGGUUUCAGCUGCAAUUAACAAAAUCCGACUCAACUAGAAGAAACAAUGAAGAAAAUUUAUUUUCUCAUUGAAAAAGAAGUCUGCCUGUAGGACAGAAAAACAGCUUGAUAACAUCACUGAGGAUUCAAAUUCUGGCUCUGCCUGUCUUGACACUAAUCUCUUGCUUUUCUUUACAACAUGGCUUCAACAGUUGUGAAUGUUGUAGCCUCACCAAAAAUGUCCAAAGACUGCACCCUGAGGCAGAUCAAUGCCCUACCAAAGAAAAGUAGAUCUCUGAGGGGUAGCUAGAUAAAACCAUCUGUCACACCUCUUUAAACAAGGCUCAGGGGUAGAGACAUGAUAUUAUGUUGCCAAAUCUCUUCUAUGCUACCUUGAAAAGUACUAUGGGCACAUUAAACCUUCACUAAAGUGUUGCUACGAAUUAAAAACUGUUGCUGGAGGGCUCAGUUAUUUAAAAAUUGUCACGAUUAGCCGUCUUGAUCCUUUCUGUAGAAAGCUGUCCACUGUGGUCUAAUUUCUAAAACCAACAAAGAAUAGAAGACAGUCUAAUAAUAGAGAAAUAAAUAAUCCAUGUUGUCUUGUCUAGUUCUAGAGUAUUAAAAAUAAUUUUAAGUGACAUGUAAAAAUGCUAAUACAUAAUGUUAAGUGGGUAAUAUAAAGGAUGCAUACACCACAUUAUUUCCACUAAGGAAGGCAAAUAUAUGUACAAAAUAAAAUUAUGUAUAGGGAAAAAGAAUCUGCUAUAAGAAGGUAGACCAAAAUGUUGACAGCAAUUUUUCUAGGAUUGUGGAAACCUGAUAAAUUGGUUUUCCAUUUUCUUUCCCUGUAAUCAUCCAAAAUUUAUAUAAUUCACAUUUACUUUUCUAACAGGGAGAAAAAUAAUAUUUUAAAGCAAUGAUGCUUAGCCUGAUUGCAGAGAAUGCCCUCUUGACAUGAACCUGCAUGUAUAUUUAUAUCUUUCUAUUCCAUCCAAAUCAAUGUGAAGAGGCAGCCCAGACUGUAUGUGAAAAUCCUUGCAUCUCAUGCAUUUUUAACAGGGUUGUUGAAACAAGUGACAGAUGAGGGAGAGGACUUCUUUGCACUGAGAACAGGUUGCAUAAACUAAAAGUGAUACUGUCAUGAUGGUGACCACAGAAAUGUGGGUUAGGGGACUUUUCAGGGACUGCAAACGUAACACAAAAUUACGGAAGAUUUGGGAAACUACAGUUAAUAUCUAUGCCAAAUUACAGAGGAUUGACAUGCAUCCUUAUUAAGAGAUUUGUUCUGAUUACAAAAAGAUUAAAAUUCUUUAUGAAUUUUUAUUUAAAUUUGUGGGAGAGACAAGGUCUCACUAUAUUACCCAGGCUGGUCUUGGACUCCUGGGCUCAAGAGAUCCUCCCACAUCAACCUCCCAAAGUGUUGGGAUUAUAGGCAUGAGCCGCCACACCCAGACAGAGAUUGAAGUUCUAAGUAUGCCUCCAAAUCAAGAAGUUUGAUGAACUAGAUGAGAAAGUAUAAGGAAUUGCAAGUUGCCAGAGGGCCAGUUUGAAGUGAAGGUGAACAAUACAGUUCACCUCACGAUGGGUAAGUUGCUUAUGAAGAUCCCCUUCUUCUCCAAACACCUUUCCUAUAAAGGGAGGAUCAAAGCUUUUAAAAAGCCAAAUGCAUACUUUUCCUUUUCACACUCCUAUCCCACAACAAAGUGUUAGAAACAAGACAUACCAUUUUAAUGCAUUAUGAUAAGUCCUGGUUGUGUCAGAAUUCCACACUCUCCUCUGCUGCCCGGUGCCGUGUCUGAAAUGCCAACAUCAUGGCUUUACUCUGUUGAGCUUUGAGUGGUCCCCAGUUUCUUAAGGGUCCCCAAACUAUACUUUCCUGCUGGGGGAUAAAUCUUCAUCUCCUUGUCAGCAGCAUCUCAGGAGUUAAUAGCUGACUACCAGUGGGGAAGACCUCUGGAUAUGGAGUUGGGGAGGCAAGACAGGAGGAGGAAAGGGCCCCAACGACAACUUAUUCAAAGCUCUUGUCUGUCGUGUGCCUAAGCCUUCCAAAGACAAUUGUUCUCAUUAGUUGUUGCAGUCAUCUGAAGUUGUGCAUUACCUAAUUUCAUAGAAUCAAGGGGGAAAAAAAUGCCAAGCUCUAGAAUGGCCUGGGCAUUUCCCAUACAUGAUACUAUUUCAUCAUUCUCACUCUUCCAAACUGAAUUUGGAAGUUUUCACAUUAACGCAUGAUGGAUAUAAGAUUGAAGGCUAUGGUUUAGUUCUCCAACUCAGAUUCCUCCCAAAGAUUCAAGAACCUGAGAGAGAGCAUUCUCCAAAAGCUACCACCCUUUUUGCCCUGCUAGCUCCUGAAAGCCAUUAUGCUGAUGAUGAAGGACCCAGGGAAUAAAAGCUUAGGGUUGGACUGGAAACUGCAGCUUGCUUUUUGCUCCCUGUUUUCAGACAAAACUCUCUUGGUGACGUGUAUAAUUUGUUCCCUCUUUAACUUUAAAAAAGUGCCCUCUUUAAUUUUCUUGGUUUAGACAUCUCUUUUAAGAGUGAAAGGUCGACUUUUUAGAUGUGAAAUAUUUUAUAUCUGACCUUUUAUCCAUCAUUGCUAAGAUGAAUACAAAUGCCCUGAAGAAUAACUGAAAAAAGCAAUCAAAUAAGAUUAUGAAUUACACAGAAAAAAUAACACCUAAUUAAAGUGAUUGUGUGUGUAGUGCUUGGCAAACAGGUCAGUAUCAUUAAAACAAUGCUAGAAAGCAGACAGAAUAACAAGAGACGAAACUAACCCACAGAAAUACACACACACGCUCAUAUACACAUGCACUGAAUGAGCCACUGUUAAUUCUUGUGGAAAAAAACAGAAUCAUUAGAAUUGAAGCCAGGCUUACCGGUACCCAAUCAAAAUCUGAUGAUCAACUGUGCACUAUGGCAACAAAUGUUCUUAUUGCUCUUCACAGCAUAGUCAUUACCCUGUACUCCAGAAGGACAAUAAUAGGUAGAGCAACUCUAAACACUCACAACCUGCCCCUGUUGCCUUAGCAACAUGCAUGGUUUAUGAAGCACUUUCAUGCAUGAGAAGGACCCCGAAGGCUUCCUGUACCCAGAUAGGAUCAGUGUUCUGCUAGGCUCAGGUUAGGAAUGUAGGUCUCUUGAGGACAGCUAGCCAGACCUUCCUCAUAUCUCUCCUCAAUCUUUAGAAAAGGGGAUUGGGGAAAACCUCCCAACAUGCUACCUAGUUUACUCAAAAGAAUGUGCACUUUGGAGUCACCUAGCACUCCUUUCAAGUGUUGGCUCCACUGACAAAAAGCUGUGUGAUCUGGGCAAGCCAUUUGCAGUCAUGAACCUUAGAUUCCUCAUCUGUCAAGCAAGUGUAACUGCAAAGUCUACCUCUCAGUUUUCUGUGGGGAUUAACUGAAAUGAGUACCAUGCAUUUGGUAAAUGUCAGUUACCUUGCCACUCAUCUCUAGAACACUGGAGGACCUGAAGAAUUCAGUGCAGCAUGAUAACUUCUUUCUUUCUUUUCUUUUCUUUUCUUUUUUUUUUUUUUGUUUUUUGAGAGGGAGUCUUGCUCUGUCACCCAAGCUACAGUGCAGUGGCACAAUCUCACCUCACUGCAACCUCUGCCUCCAGGAUUCAAGCAAUUCUCCUGCCUCAGCCUCCUGAGUAGCUGGGAUUACAGGUGCCCACACCACAUCUAGCUAAUUUUUGUAUUUUUAGUGGAGAAGGGGUUUCACCACCUUGGCCAGGCUGGUCUCUGACUCCUGACUUUGUGAUCUGCCUGCCUUGGCCUCCCAAAGUGCUGGGAUUACAGGUAUGAGCCACUGCACUCGGCCAGAUAAUUUCUAACUGGUUGUCAUACAUACUUAGCUAAAAGUACAUUUGUCUAAUGAAAAUGUACUUAGACACCUAACAUGAAAUUAGACAAAAGCUGAGCUGUGGGGUCGGGAAGCCAGGAGUCCUUCAAUCCCAGCCAUCUGAGGGCGUCCCAGAAGCCCACGGGAAUCACAAAAAGAUAGUUUAUUAGUUGUUCUGGAUUAUCCUGGUGCUUCCUUUCACUUGCAUUGGGCUUGGUACUGAUUUAACUUCUUCCAAAGGGAGCUAUGUAUUUUCUCCAGCCACAGGCUAGGAAGUUACGGGAGCUGGGCUCUGCUCCUUACCAAACCAGGGCAGACAGACACUUGCAGGCACCUUGCAAAGUAAGCAAAUGUGUCUGUUUUUUUAAUCUUCCCCACAGUUCCCAGCGUGGGACUACACACCACGAUAAUCAGCACAGAGACCAUCUCCUUAAACUAUCUUGUUGAUUUUUCAAAACCCAGGGCAGAUUCACCCUCCACACAGAAUGUACUGAGCUUCUGGGUCCACACAGACUUCUUCCUUCAGUGUCCACCUCACUGAAUUGUUAAACUCUUGGGAUUUGGGGAAUCAUAUGGGUUAGCUGUCUUCCUAUGGUUCUCACUCCUCUUUACCCUCAAGUUUUCUCAAGUCAGUAGCCCUAGGGGAGCUGAGUACAAACAUGAUGGAAAGAAGAGAGCUGAGGCCUUCUCUCACAGUGCAAUUCUUUAUACUAUUUGUAGGCAAGGAGGUUCUGUUGAGACCUGAGCUAUGGAGGAUCCCGAUGAGAACAAAUCUAGUAGAAUGGUGAAGACAGUGGAUCCUGGGACAGUCUAGGUGUGAACCAUGGCUCUGUCAUUGAGUAACUCUGGUCCAUUUACUUCUCCCGGACUCGGUUUUCUCACAUUUAAAAUAAAAUGAUAGUAGCAGUGCUUUUCUCAGUCAUCAUGAGCAUUAAUAUUAUGGGAAGGCUUUAAACAGUGCCUGGCAUGUGAUAUGCAUUCAGUUAACUUCUCAUUGACACUUUACUCAGCAUUUUCUAAUGAUGUGAGUUAAUAUGAAUUGUCAAAAGUAAAAUAAAAGCACUGAACUCAGAGUAAGGAUCAAAAUUGUAGUUGUGAUUUCUCCAUCAAUUUGAUGUAUGACUUUAAGAAACUUACUUUCUCUUUUGGGACUCAGUUUUCCCCAUUUGAUUCAUCAUUUGGUGGGAAUAGAUGAUCUAAAAGACCUCCUGUUGGCUGGGAGUGGUGUCUCAUGCUUGUAAUCCUAACACUUUGGGAGGCUGAGGUAGGUGGAUCACCUGAGGUCAGGAGUUUGAGACUAACCUGACCAACAUGGCCAAACCCAUCUCUACUAAAAAUACAGAAAAUUAGUUGUGUGUGGUGGUAUGUGCCUGUAAUUCCAGCUACUCAGGAGGCUGAGGCAGGAGAAUCAAUUGUUUGAAUCCUGGAGGCAGAGGUUGUGGUGAGGGAAGAUCAUGCCACUGCACUCCAGCCUGAGUGACAGAGUGACUCUAUGUCUCCUAAGUAAAUGAAUGAAGACAUCCUCUUUUCUGUCUCUUUUGACUUUAGAUAAAGUGUGUGAUGGGGCAGAAAUGGCUGAUUCUAGGGUAAGCUGCCAGUCUUCCUCCCCAUGUCUGCUUCCUGUGCUGUGUACCAGAUAUUCAUGAUAUUCACAGAACAAACUCCAAUUCUCUGGUGAAAGGAUGGAGAUCUGGCUUAUAAAUGCAUGUGACACAUCUUAAAUUUAAAAAAUUAAUCCCAACCUUAUAAAAAAUCAAACUCUUUAACUUUUAUAGACAUAAGCACAUUAGAUCUAUUUUUGGGGCAAAUAUCCAAGCUCUGAUUCAUGGCCUCUCAUCUGGCUUCUUGUAUUCAUGGCAUGGCCCCAGCAAAAUAGGCAUGGGGGUCUAUGGCGAGGUGUCACUAAAAUAUAAAUGUCCCUUCAUUUCUAAUGGAUGCUGAAGAUUGCAGCUUAUAUCAUUAGGCUGGUUAUAAAAUAUUAAACAUUAAGUAAUCCAAUGUUACUCAAGAGCCAGAGCCAAGUUGAUGCCUUUUUCUUUCCCUGUUCAGGGAAAAUGGCCCUGAGUACCCAGACUGGCCCCUGAUAACUGGCAGGAUGUGAUGCCAGCACCUUUACUGUUUACUAGUGGUGGCGCUCCACUAAUGAGGGGUGGUCAGUAAGUGUCCCAGCCACUUGUCUUUCUUAGGGUUUGAUGAUGCUGACUGCUCCACAGCAAUGAAUGGCAGAGUGCCAAGCCUUCAAGCAACAGCUUUGACUUCUCCUGGGAGAGAUGUCCAGAGGAGCUACUCUUCUUCCCUAACUUUUCAGGAAGGGAAUCUUCAGAGGAGAUUCCCAGUGUGUGAUUUGUCAUGUAGAUAGGCUGUGGCAGAUACUUUUAGUGCCGCAUGUCAUGACCCCGCAGCCGCCUGAUUUCGGUGCUGUGAUGAUAGGUAAAUGUACACUGUCAGCAUUUCCAAUUCUUUUUGAGUACUUUCAGUUCACACUCAGGUGCUGCCCGGAAGUGUGGGGAAGGUAAUGCUCCUAGUGGUGGCUCUCCGCUAAUGAGGGGUGGUCAGUAAGUGUCCCAGCCACUUGUCUUUUAAAGAUAUAUUUUUGACAUGUAUUUUAUGUGUUUCUUCAAAGGGUCCCUGGCAGUAUUGAACCCCACUUUGACUGCAGCAGUAACUAGCCCAAUUCUGCACCUUUCAAUGGUUCCCUCCCUUGUUUCCAUUGCCCUCUCACUCUGGCUUCCUGAGGUUACCUCCCAAAUAAAUGACCUCCUCCAAGUUCUUGUCUCAGGCUCUGCUUACAAGGGAACCCACACCAACAUAAAGGUUUACCAUAUAGGAGGAUUUCUGGAAGGGGAAGGGAACUUUGGAAGCUUGAGUCCUGACAAAAAAAGCCAAAUAGCUCUAAAAUUCAGGUUCUAUGAAAAUAGCUGGGCUUGGGUUGUGCCACUUGUUCUUUGCACAUCUAACCUGGAUUUGCAAGGUUAGCGCAUUGUACCCAAUUGUAUAAGUUGGGCAUUGUUCAUAGGCCUCUAACCCUAGGGUUUAAAAUCAGCCACUUGCUCUGCUCACCAGGUGUAUUAAUCAGAGUUCUCCAGAGGGACAGAAUCAAUAGGAUGUAUCUAUAUAUAAAAGGGAAUUUAUUAGGCAGAAUUGGCUCACAUCAGUACAAGGCAAAGUCCCAAAAUAGGCCAUCUGCAAGCUGGGCAAAGAGAGAAGUUGUUAGCAUGGCUCAGUUAAUCUCCGAAAGCCUCAAAACCAGGGAAGCCAACAGGGCAGCCCUCAGUCUGAGGCUGAAGCACGGAGAGCCUCCAGGAGUUGCUGGUGCAAGUCCCAGAGUCCAAAGUCUAAAGAUCUGGAGUCUGAGUCCAGGGGCAAGAGGAGAGGAAGCAAGCACCUGGCAUGGGAAGAGAGAGCAAGAGAACUUGUAAAGCUGCUCAUCUCCCUUCUACCUGGGCUGGCAGCUGAUUGGAUGGUGCCCACCCACAUUGAUGGUGGGGCUUCCUCACCCAGUCCAUUGACUCACGUGUCUGUGUCCUCUGAAAAUAUCCUCAUAGACAUAACCAGAAACAACACCAGCCAUCUAGGCAUCCCCUCAGUCCAGUCAAGUUGAUGUCUCACAUUAACUGUCACACCAGACCACACCCUGAAGUGCCAGGCUGCAUCUGCCAAAACAAAACACUCCUUUUUCUUAAAAGUGUUGAUCAUUCCCUAGGCUGCAUGGCUUCAGGUUGACAUCUUCGCCAAGGGUAUCUGGGCAUCAUUUUCCAGUUCACACAAAGGCAUUUUAUAGGCUGGCUGUGGUCCUCAGUCACCUGGGCUUCUGCCCUAUGUCUGAUUGCUUCUAUUUACAAACCUAAGUCUGUAACCAAGACAGUCUCUCUCCCACAGCCCCUAUGUCUGUGGGAGAGUCUCUCUCCCACAGCCCCUAUGUCUGUGGGAGAGUCUCUCUCCCACAGCCCCUAUGUCUUCUGCCCUAUGUCUGAUUGCUUCUAUUUACAAACCUAACUCUGUAACCAAGACAGUCUCUCUCCCACAGACAUUUCCAUGUUGGCAUCUGCCUUUGGCUAAUGCCGACUCCUUCACUUGUUCUUCUUCCUGAAAGGUGCUUGUUCACCAGUGCUUGCUCUUUAAGUCUCCACUAUUUUUGGUUCGCUUCCAAGCUCGCAAUGUCACUUCCCUCCAAACCACCACUGGACUUAUUAGAUUCCAUCCAUCCAUUCAUUUAAUUGUAUAUUUGUUCUUCAAGAAUAUUUAAAGUGUUUUCAAUAAUGUGCUUGGCUCUGGGUCUACAGACAUGAAUCCAUUCAAUCCCUGUUCUAGUGGAAGAAUGAAACAAGCAGCAAGAGAAAGCACAGUGAUAGAGGGAAGCACAGGGGCUCUGGGAGCCAGGGCAGGGCCCCUCUCUCAGCUCAGGGGGCCAGUGACAACCUUGUGGGAGGUGGUGACAGAUGAUUACCAGAGCUGUCUUAACACUGGGUAAAGAGGGAGCGGGGGAGAUGUGGGGGACAAACCAAGAGAGAAGAGCAGGUUCAAAUGUGAGAGGACAAGAAAUGUACACAGAAGACUGUGAGCUGUUUAAUGCUGUUGCAUUAUCAAAUUGGAGGCAGGGGAGAGAGAGAUGAGGCUGUGGGAGGGGAAGCAAGGUCCUUUCCUCGAGGAAAGCCUGUUAAGAUGCUUAUACUCAAUGAGGUAAGGAGCAGGAAGACAUGCCAGCUGUUCAGCAAGGGCUUUGCUCUUGCUUAUCAUUUGCAAAUAAUAGAAAUUUCAUUCAUUUUUUUCAUUAUUUACCUGUUUUUUAUAUGGAUUGCUGUGUGUUUUACUGGGUUUGGAGGAACACUUGUCUGUAAUGAGUGGACGAGAAAUGUUGUGAAUAGAGACUUCAUCUUCUAAACCUGGAAGGUGCUGAGCAAAGGAGGAAGUUCAGAGGCUAUGAGUCACUCAGUCUACCCCCCACCCUUUCACACAGUGGGCACUUGGCUUUUCUUUUCUGGCAGAAAAAAAAAAAUUAUAGGAAGGAUCCCUUUGCCCUUCCUGUGGAGAUCGGCAGCAGACAGGGAGGAGUAAGAGCAGGAGAGUCCUUUAAUGACUUGGCAGUUGGCUGGGUGGAGGGCCUCAUUCCCUGUUCAUUUCCUCUAGAUCUUAGCAGAACCUUUGAAAAUUAAAGAAGCCGCAGCUGAGCAGAAAGAGGUUGGGUCUUGGUGUUUUAGUGACUUGUAUUCAAAACCAGGUUUAGGCUUAUGCAAGUUAUCAAAUUAUACUGAAUCUCCAAUCUCCUUUGCAAGGGAGUCCAUGAUCCCUCCCUGGGCUGUUACGCCGUUAAAGGAGACAAUACAGCUGUAAGAUCCUAGUCUAGGGCUUGACUCUGAGUGGGACCGCAGGUGGAGCUCAGCGAACGUCGGAUUGCUUCUCUUCACCUGCCUUUCCUUUAGGGGUCCCUUUUCACCUCUCUCUGCCUCUUUCUGUAAGUGCAUGAGCUUGUUGCCAAGGUACGUCAGCAGCAUCCACCUCCUCCAUCUCUCUGCAGAUUAAUCCACUUCCAUGCUACUCCCUGAGGACUUACUGAAUCAGCUCUGAUUAUGCAUUUCUCUUGGCAGUAACCCACCCUGUGACUUUUGGCAGGUCAUAUCUGCUCUCUGGGUCUUAGUGUGUCCCCCUGUAAAGGGGAUGAGUGGAACAGAUCAUCUCUGAGAGUCCCAAAUCUAACAUGAUAUGCUUGUAUGAGUCCAUGACUCUCCACGCUAGAAAAUAAAUCCCAGUGCCUUAAGCACAACAUGUAAGCUCUCCCAGGACCCCUGUGCCCAUGGUCUGACUACAAUUUUGCCCCUUGGUUCCUCUUUUCCACUAUUUAGUCCCUCCCUUCUUACCCCAGUAUCCUCUGCUACUGCCUUGGUGCCCUGCCACAUUAGGUAUCUCAUCCUCGUUUAUGCUGACUUUCAUCAUAAAAACUAACAGUAUUAGAGAGAGACUCUGUGUGUGUGUGUGUGUCUGAAUUAAUUUGAAAUUAUUGUGAGUAGGUAUUACUGAGGUAAAUAUAAAGAAAGCCUUAACUUAAUGUCAUGAAAUAGGUUGAUGAGUUAAUUUGAAUAGAUUAUAUAAAAAGUAGUUAGGACUGAAACACACUCCAGAAUUACUUGCAGCUCCGUAUUCAGUCUGCUGUUGGUACUUUUAUGAACAGAUCAGAUAAAGGCUGGAGAAACGUGAAAAAUGCACAUGGAUUUUAUGUCUGGAUGAUAUGUCACUUUGAUCAAGGAGAGGCAAACUAUUGUUAUAGAAAGUGUAAGAAGAAGGCAGGGAGUAGAAGCCUCAUUUUGACUUUAUCUUAGCCCUCCAUGUGACCUUGGAUGUACCUGCUUAACUUCUUGAGCCUCAGUUUCCUCAUCUAAAAAAUGAAAAUGCUCUUAUUUUUGGAGGAAUGUCACAAAUUGAGGGUGGUAAAACAUAUAAAAGUACAUCAGGAAGAGCAUCCAAAUGCUACCCCAGAGGGAGGAAGCGUUAUCAUGAAGUCAUUGCUUAUCAUCCAUUACAGAAAAGCUUUCUAGAAUAAGAAAAAACAGUCACCCACUCCAGCCACUGGGAAAUGAUGCAUUCUCGUGAAUGUGACCUGAAUAAAUGGAGGACAUGUGGCAGCUCUCAAGUGUAAAAAUGAAAGAACAGUGUUGGUGGUCUCAUUCAUCACUGCCCAGCUGAAAGUUUCUGCUCUGUAUUACUAGUACAUUUGCUUUUCUGUGAAUAGUGAGCACAUGGUAUUUGCUAAAGACCUGCUCUAUGCCAGACCCUGGACUAGAUUGUGGAGUUGCAAAUCGAAGGACAGGGUCCCCACCUUAGAGCACCUUAUAGCCACAUAGAGAGGCCCAUGAACAAAAAUAAUUUCAGUAUGUUCUGCUAAAGGACAGAAUGAAGGGACAUUCCACCAUGUGAGGCUGAGAGAAGGAUCACUGAUUUACCCCAGAGGAAUCAAGAAACCUUCACAAAGGAGAGGGCAACAGAAGUGGAGGGGAAACAGAAGGUGGCAGAUAAGAUGAGCCUUGGAGUUUGAGCUGAAUGUCAACAGGCAGAAGUUGGAAGGAAGGUGUGAGAAUCAAUGGGCAAGCAGCCUGAAGCCAGUCCAGCAAUCUGAGAAGCUGACCCUGAAAAUCAACCUUAUAUUUACCCCCAGAGCCUCAGGAAUGUGCAGUCAUUGUUGCCAUUUGUUGCUACCUCUUGGACAGGCAGACACAGAGCCUUGUCUCCAGGGGAGCUGGCUGAGUCCAGGAGAGUACAAAUCUCCGUAGAGGAAUGGCAAAGGGGGCCUCGCAAAGGAGUGACUGGAUCCUUGCCCUAGCCAGACAUUUCUUUGGCUGAAGGUUGCCCUGGUGGGGCCUCAAAAGCUGGAGAAUCUUUACCCUUUACCUGAAAAAGGCUGCUGCCUCUCCAGCUCUGUGAGUAGUAAGUUACACCCUGGUCUUGAUUAAAGUCCAAGCACAGGAUGGGCAGCCUGCCUUGGCCGUCCAGGCCCUUUGGACCUGGUGACUCAUUUGGUGGCAGGAAGUGGAGUCCAGCCACAAAAUUACUUGUUUAAGGAUUAUGUACUAUAUGGUGGUAGUAGUUAAAGAAAUAUACAUUUCAGUACCACCUUCUAUUCCUAAAAAUGGUUGAUGAUAGCAGGUAGCAGGUAGGGAAGUUGUUGAGAAAAUGCAGAGAUAUGUGUGCACUUGCUAAGAUGUGAAAGGCAAAAAGCCCCACUGAGCCUGGAAGUGGCUGUUCUCUGACCUGAGUCAAAAGGCACAGUGCAACCCCCAGUUCUGGAGCCCUCCCCUUCUCUGCAGGACCUGGGUCUGCAGUAGCCUAAGACUUAGAAGAUAGCUAGGGUUUCAAAGAGAGUUAAAGACAGAAGUCAGAUUGGAAGCCAUGGAGACUGCAUUUCUCACUUAUUGCUAUUUUUUGUUAUAAAGACAAUGGAGAAUACAGUUACUUACAAGAUCUUUCCAAGUGGCUGCUGGUUCCUGCAAUGCUCAAGUUAAUUGAAUCAUACACCUGUAAUUUUGGAGCCAUGGGCUUAGGGAAGUCAGUUCUUCAGAGAAAAGAGGAAGAAAUGAACUAACAAAAGCCUUGAGUUGUAGCUCUGUGUAUGUGUAUGGUGGAGGAGAGGUGGAGUGCCCCUAAUGGCCUUUUUUCUUCUGAUCUGCAGUGCUGUUGGGACCCCUCCCAUCCCAUAGAACUGGGGCUUCAAGACAUGCCAAGUCUAAGUUAAACUAGACACCAGAAAAUUGCUCUUUAGUAUUUUGCAGUGUCAUGGCUGGGGUUUUGGAAUCAAUUGAAAAACUAGGAUAAAGGAGCCAAUUACUGCUCUGUUGAUUACCAGUAAAUCUGUUGGCAAGUGGCAGUUAUUUGUGGGUGAAUCAGAUUAUGGAUGAAUGAGUUAUUGAUGAUCAGUACUAGCUACCAUGGAAUGCUGACUGUGUGCUGGGCACCCUGAAGGCACUUUAAACAUUUUAUCUCAUGUCAUUCUUAUAGUAGCCACAUAGAAUUGAUAUUCGUUUCCCCACUUCACACAGGUGGAAACAAAGCUCACAAAGCAGCUUUGUGGUAGAGACAGAUUUAAACUGAGGGGGAGCAACCAAUUACUCAGUGUUUCUGGAGCCCAGAGCGACAGAGAGGGAGAUGAGGCUGGACUAUGGUUAAGGAAGAAUCAUGAGGGGUCUUCAGUACCCUUCUAGGGGUCUCAGUUUCUUCUUCCUGGGUUUUCAGGCUCAGAGAAUCUCCUGAGGUGUGCAAGUCCCAGGGCAUAGCCAAACUUUCCCACUGUUCAGCACCCAGAUUCUGGGGCUCCAUCUGUCAUAGAAUCCCCCAACCCCCACCUAGCCAGGGUGGGGUUGGGAACUUAGCCUUUGCCAAGCAUGCAGACACCCCAGCUUUCAUCAGCCUGUCAGAGCUGGCAUAGACUUGCCAAGACUUUGUUGAAAACCAACUGCUUUCAAUGUAAUAAAAGCCAAAGUCCUGGAGGGGAGAGUUUUUGUAUCUUUAUUCAUGGGACCAUUUGCUGCUGCUCUGUGUGCUGCAGAGAAAUGGUCGCCAAAGGCUUUUCAGCAUUCACUGGACAACGGGCUAAUCGGGCUGCUGAGUACCCUUCAGUCACCAGGAACAAACUGCACAGCUUCACAGGUGAGAGAGGGGCUAGUGGUGCUCAUUGUCCUUAUACUCCCAUUGCCCCCCACACUUCCCCCACACCCCCACUAACUCAAGAAGGUGAACAGGUGAGGGGAGAGCUGAGCAGCUGUUUCCUCCCCAUCAGUAGCAAUUCUGCAGUCUCUGGAGGGCCGCAGCCUCACUUGAUGCUCAGCAGGCUGGAUUACAGGAUCCAGAUUUCAGGAAUGCGGGGCUUACUUCUCCGGAGCUGUCACUCAGUGUUCUAACUCUAGAGCUUCAGUUACUGCCCGUUCUAUGUUGUUGUGUGUAUUUAUUUCUGGGAUCUGCUGAAACAAACACACACUUAUUAGCUUAAACUACAGAAAUGCAUUGACUCUUGAGUCUGGAAGACCAAGAUUGAGGUGUCGUCCCAUUUGGUUCCUUGUGAGGGCUGUGCAAAAGGAUCUGUUCAGACCUCUCUCUUAGCUUCUCAUAGCCCCAGGCAUUGGUUUAUCAAUGACAUUCUCCCUAUGUCUUCAUAUUGUCUUCCUUCUUUACACUGUGUUCAAAUCUCCCCUUCUGUUAAGGACACCAUUUAUAUUGGAGUAGGGACCAUCCCAAUGAACUUAUUUCCACCUAAUCAUCUGCAAAGACCCUAUUUUCAAAUAAGGUUAUAUUCACAGGUAUCAGUGAGUUAGGAUUUCUUUUAGAGGACACAGUGCAAUACAUGGCAGUUAAGAUGCUGCCUUUAUGCCUGAAUCCGCAUGGGAGGAAGUAGAUACUGGUAAGUCUUACAGCUAAUGGAGAUACCACCAAGUCAUGGGGCUGGACUCGCCUUCAGUAUGAUUUCUUGAGCUCCAGAUUAGGCCCACAACUAAAGCAUCUCUGCAGAGAUGUCAUGGAAAGUGAGGCUCCACCAGCUGAUAUUUAAUGAGCAAUGCCCCCUUCAGAAGUCUUUGGAUACUAAUUGAGCUCUUACUCAAUUAGUAUUUGGUAAUUGAGUAAGUUAAACAUUAUAUUAAUUUAAUGUUAAUAAGUUAAUACAAUGUAAAGUUUAAACAUUAUAUUAGUAAUGGCCUAGAAUUAGUAUAUGGGGUUAGUGUGUGUUAACUGAUUUAACUCGUAUAACUUCCACAUGGAGCAGAGACUAGCAUGAUGCCCAGUCUGACAAAAGGGCAACUCUCGUGUCCAGAGUCACGGUGCUAGGGAGUGAUGGAGUUGGGGGAAAGCAAAGGCACUCUGGAUCCAGGGCCUGAGCUCUUGAUCUUAAAUUAUUGAAAAAUGCCAAUUUCUAGGCUUUUUUUCCCAGAGCAUAUCUGAGUUGGGCUCAGGAAUCUGAAUUUUAAGAGCACCUUCUGAUGGAGAAGGUCAUUAACCUUCAGGCCCUGGGACAGUACCAGCACCCUGGUUUUCUUUUUCUUUUUUUUUUAAUCUUUUAUUGCAUUUUAGGUUUUGGGGUACAUGAGCAGAGCAUGCAAGACAGUUGCAUAGGUACACACAUGGAAGUGUGUUUUGCUUCCUUUCUCUCCUUCACCCACAUUUGGCAUUUCUCCCCAGGUUAUCCCUCCCCACCUCCCCCUCCCACUGGCCCUCCCCUUUUCCCCCCAAUAGACCCCAGUGUUUAGUACUCCCCUCCCUGUUUCCAUGUGUUCUCAUUUUUCAUCACCCGCCUAUGAGUGAGAAUAUGCGGUGUUUCAUUUUCUGUUCUUGUGUCAGUUUGCUGAGGAUGAUGUUCUCCAGAUUCAUCCAUGUCCCUACAAACGACACAAACUCAUCAUUUCUGAUUGCUGCAUAAUAUUCCAUGAUGUAUAUGUGCCACAUUUUUCCAAUCCAGUCUAUUAUCAAUGGGCAUUUGGGUUGAUUCCAGGUCUUUGCUAUUGUAAACAGUGCUGCAAUGAACAUUCGUGUACAUGUGUCCUUAUAGUAGAAUGAUUUAUAGUCUUUUGGAUUUCUCUGACUGAUCUCUCUCUCUCUCCCCACCCCCCACCCCCUCCUUUAAGAAACUUAGUGAUAGAUCUCCGUCUGCAUCCAUUCCACUUUCUUCUCUAUACUCCAGCCAGUGGAAUCUAUUUGAAACACAAGUCUAGGGCCAUAGGUCUGUCUGACCCCCAUAGGUCUUGGAAUCAAAUCUGAAUCUAUAAUAUCACCUCAAGGGCCUCUGUAAGUCGACCCUGCUUAUGCCUGGGUUCGAGUCCCAGCUCUAUUAGUGCCUUACAGCCAGUGCUUUUAGCCCUCAGAGCCUCAUCUAUAAAGGAAGAGUAAUGACAUCUCUCCCACAAGGGUGGCAGAAAGAAUGAAAUUCGGAAAUGCACAUAAAAUGUCUAGUUCCACCCCUGGCCUCAGAGGUGCUCAGUGAAUGGUGCACUCCGAAUUGUCAGGUGUUGUGUGGCACUGAGCUUUUCAGAGAGCUCUUUUUUGUAGGGACCCUAUGAGAUUGUCUGAUAACUGGGCCAAGACAAGCACCCUUUAGUGCACAGGCCUGGCCACUAGUUUGCACAAGGCUUUUCCUGCCUGAGACCCAGAGGAACACACAUCUUGGAGACCAGAAGGGGAAGUGUUGGUGGUCUUUCUUCCAGGCCUGAAGAUACUCAGUGUGUGUAUGCAGCAUCCUCCUUGCUCCCCUAUAGCCUGACCAGCUACUAUCUUAAUCCAAUGUGCACUGAGCUUAUCUAUGUUUUCCAGAUGCUGGGGUGGACUUUAUGUGCUGUUACCUAAUGAGGUGGGGAGCACAGAUGAGUGUUCCUGCCAUCUGACACAGACCCUCAUAGACUGCUGUACUAGGAGGGAAUAGGAAUGUGUCACGCUAUGCAGUGGCUGAUCUGGGUGAAGAUGCCCUGUGCUAGCAGACAUGACCCACAGCCACACCAUCUGCUCACUGGACUCUGGUUCAUGUGUAGGCUCAAGGUGGACAAUCCAGGUUUGAGCAUGGUCCUCAGAACUUUGGUACCUUGUCUGUACCAUAAGGGGUUAGAUCGAAGGAUCUCAGGGAAGUUUUUCCCACUUGAACUAUUUGUGCUUUUUUGAAAUUUCAAGAAUUCAUCCCCCAUGACCAAUGUUCUGUGUGGAAGAUAGAAGAAUGCUGGCAGACUAUGGAUCUCUCUCUCUCUUUCUUCCCCAAUCCCUUUCUCCAAGGAAAUGGUAUUAAGACCAGAAGAGCCUCUUUGGAAUUAUAAUUGAGAUUUGUGAAAAGUAAUUACAGAGAUUUAAUUAGCUAAUUACUUACUCUUAGACUCUCAAAGCUAGAAUGGCCCAUCCAUCCCAGUGGUUUUUAUAUCUGACUAUGCAUCAGUAUCACCUGGGGAGCUUAAAAAGAUAACCAAUUCCCAGGCCAUAAACUAGACCUACUAAAUGAGAUCCCUGGGGCUGAGAACCAGGAGUCUUUGCAUCCAGUCUGGUGGUUUGCUCCCUUAGAACUAUGGGGGCCUUGAAACAGAGGCUUAGAUGUUCUGUCCUUAGCUAAAUGUUCUCUCCUUAGCUAAAUGGCAUUCAUCCUGUGGUUCCCCAGGGUUCACAUAGAGCCGCAUAUACUACUCAGAUAGUCUAUGCUAAACAAUUACACAUGACAUGGUUAAUGAACAUGGUUCUAGUGGCUGAACUGUGCUUAGUCUUAUACCCAUUUGUUCUUAGUGUUCUCAUCUCUAGAAGGCUUAGUCCAAGCAAUAGCAUGGCCUUAUGCGAGAAAAAGAGCCCAGGUUUUAGAAUUGAAUGUGGGUGCAGACACUGGCUCCCCCACACUCCAUAUGAUUUGGAUGUGUGACUUUGGGCACAUUACAGAUAUCCCUCAGACCCCAGUUUUCUCUCCUGAAAAUGAGUACAUGAUCUGGCAGGAUUUCCAUGAGAUUUGAAAGAGAUGGCGCUUAUGAAGUGAGCAGCAUAUGAUAUAAUGGUGCAAGUUUGGGCUCUUCUCCCCCUCCUCCUAUAGGCUGCAUGUAUCCUUUAGAAUAUUGUUUAAACUCAUCCUUGCCUAGCAGGUAUCCUCCUAAAAUAUGCAUUGCAUCUUAGCCCAGGCUAAUUUGUAAAGUAUGCCUGAGUUUAAGAUGUUCUCAUGUACUUCGUACAUAUACAUCACCUUCCCCCAGAUAUGGAAUGUGAUAGUAAUGGAUGCCGGCCAGAUUUGCAAAUAAAGGCUAGAGUGGGAAUGAAAAGAAUUAAAAACAUAAGUAUAGAAUAGGCUUUAUUUGGGCUAGAAGAUACAAAUAAUCUGUAUACCCAUGGAAUGAUUGUAUAUGCAAAGAGAAGGCUAUAAACCAUGUUAUUAAUAGUAGUUAUGCCUGGAGGACACAAUUAUGGAUGAUUUUUCAUUUCCUUUUGUUGUUUAAUAAACUUUAUUUUUUUAGAACCACUUCAGUUAUACAUAAAAAUGUCAAAUGAUGGUACAGAGAGUUCUCAUAAACCCACUCCUAGUAUACCCUGUUGUCAACAUCUUAUAUUGAUGUGGUACCUUUGAUACAAUUAAUGAGCUGAUAUUUAUACAUUAUUGAUAACUGGAGUCAGCACUUCACCCAGAUUUUCUAACUUUUUACCUAAUGCCCUUUUUCUGAUCCACGCUCUCAUUCUGCACAGGACAUUCCAUUUAGUUGUCAUGCCUCCUUAGGCUCCUCUUGAUGGCGAUAGUCGCUCAGACCUCCCUUGUUUUUGAUGACUUUGAUAGUUUUGAAGUAUACUGGUCAGGUAUUUUGAAGAAUGCCCCUCAACUGGGAUUUGCCUCGUGAUUUUUUUAUGAUUAGAGUGAAGUUAUGGGUUUUGAGGAGGAAGACCACAGUGGUAAGUGUUAUUUCCAUCACAUUAUAUCAAGGUACCUGAUUUAUCACUGUUGACAUUGACCUUGACCUCCUGGUUGAGGUAGCAUUUGUUAGAUUUCUCCAGUGUAAAAUUACUCUCCCUGACAUUUUUUUUUCCCCUGUGAUACUUUUACUUCCUUUUUAUUGCUCCAUAUUAUCUAAAGUCCUUUUUUCCCCAAUGAUCAUAAUUACUUGUAUAAUCAGAGAGAAAGGAACUCUUUUUAUUUUGGAAAACAUUGACCGUCUCAUAAGACUUUCAUCCUUUCCUUGUAUUUUGUCUUGGCCUGGUUUUCAGCACUAUUGCAGAGUCCUCCCCUAGAAGUCUCUGCUGGGAAUUUGGCCACUGGCAUCGGUUCCUGCUGAGUGUGCCUCAGCCCCAUGCUGCCUGCCUUGCAGAGGGUGUAUCCUGCAGAGCAACUUUCCAUGGUGUCAGAGUGAGCAGGCCCAUAAAUCAGUCAGGGAGGCUCCAUCCUCACUGUAAAAGUGAAGGGGACUUUCAGCCGCACUUUCUCCUUGCUGUCAAAGGUAAACAGGGCGUAAAUCUUGCUGAAGAAGAAGGUUUAUGUCCAGCCACCUGCAAACACUCCAGUUUUGAGGACAGUCUGCCUACACCUUGUUCCACUUAAAACAUAGCACCCAGCUCAGGACCAGGCACACUGUGUUCAAUUAUUGGUGGUAGUGGACCCCUGGGGCCCCACACAUCCAACGCCUUUUUGUCAGAGAAGCUAGUGAGUGAUACAUUGAAACCAGAUAGCUUUUACUACAGCAACAAUGUCCUGGACACCUGCAGCAGACACUGUCCUAAAAUUUACCAUCCUUAGUGAAUAUAUAUUUUGUGUGUGUGUGUGUGUGUGUGUGUGUGUGUGUGUGUGUAUAUAUAUAUAUAUAUAUAUAUAUAUAUAUAUAUAUAUAUUUCUUUUUU